rnacentral:piRNA from 1 species
UNGUCCUUUUCAGUGUUCUACCAGGCAAG